GGCUGGUCCACUGUCCCAGUAUUGUAUUUGUGUGGCCAACUUUUCUUCUGUCUCAUUCACACUCCCUGCCCCUGCCUACCCCAGCAACAACACCCAUCGCCCCAGAAGAAGAAGAAAAAGAAAAGAAGAGCUCACAGCACAGCAUCUGUGAAUUAAAUCAAGCUACAAAAGUAUCCAGGCAACUGAGUCCAGCGUGCCGCCAGAGAUCCAGGGCUAUCAUUUUGUCUCUUGCCUCAUUUUUAUCCCCUCUUCAAGAAGCUCUUCCAAAGACUCAAAAGCCAUGUCAUCCACCUGUUGGCCCUACAACUUGCCUGCGUCGACGCUGUGUCCCCGCAGACAUCACCUGGAGGGUGGGAAUUCUGUUCCUGAGGGAAGGCACGUCAGGAGAGAAUGCGUGGUUACCUGCUCAAGCUCCCAUGUGGAACAUCCUCUGGGUACCCAGUCUGGCUCAGCAGCUGCCACCUCUCCUCCACAGAUUGGGAAGUAUCCCCAGUGGGCUCCACUGCAUGUCCUAUCUGCCUAUUCUUUUUACACACCACAAGAUCCUCCCAGAGAAAGAGUCACCAUAGUUUCUUGGCAUCCUGAACAAGGAAUUGAACAAGACACCCAGAAACUGAAGUGA
rnacentral:lncRNA from 1 species